rnacentral:lncRNA from 1 species
GGGCACUUUCUUCCUGCGGCCGUGGAGAGAAGCCAGGCUGCCGUCCUGGCCAGUGCGGCUUCCUCUACUUUUUUUUUUUCCCCCUUCUUUUCAUCCCACGCAUCACAUGGGUUGGGCUCCCUACGUUGGGGACCUGGCUUACUCGACGCUCAUCAUCAUAGGUCUGACACUUAGUCGAUGUAGCUAUCCCCACCUCAGGGCAACAAGACUCGGGCUGGCAGACAGACUGGGGAAGCCAACCUGCUUCCUGCUGGUGGGUUUCCAGACUCCACCCGCAGGAUUGUGCUUAGCUGGCCCACGCCUGGUGGUAGAUGACGGGGACUUAGAUACCUAAGCAUCUGGGAAUCGCUAACCUCCAGACAGAUAAAGACACCAAGUGCAUGGCAGGAUCCUGGCAAACGGCAUAUGGCAAAUGCUCACACAAAAUGUGCUGGCUUGAUCAGACCAAUAUGCUCCUGUCAAGAGCAGCAGAACUCGUAGACUCAGGGUGCAUUCUAUCCAGGUUCCUAAACUGAGCUUGGAAGGAAGAGGAAAGAGCUGCAGAGGCGGAGACUCUGACCCCAAAGCGAUCGAGGGCCCUCCCCUGGCUUCCGUGUCCCUGUGGCAGGCGGUGGUGGUCGAAAUCUCUGCCCCUCAGAGUCCUGGGGAGGAUGGAUGGAACAGGAGGAGCAUCAUGAGAAGGCUUCCUGUAAACUACGGAGGGUGAGGGGACGGAGCGUGAGGGAACGUCGUGAGAUGUAGGAUUUCCUUGGCUGCUUCUUCCCAGGCACAGCUUGCACACAGAAGAUUCUGAGUGGUGCCAAGGUGAAUAAAGAUGCCUAAGUGCUCGUGGAAGCCAGCAGAGGGUGUAGGGUCUCCUGGAGCCACAUCUCUGGAGUUACAUGAAGUUGUGGACCUCUCAACAUGGGUUCUGGGAACUGAACCCAGGUCCUCUGGAAGGACAUCGAGUGCUCUUAACCACUGAGCCAUCUCUGCAGCCUAACCCCAUCCCUUGGAGGCUGAAGCAAAGCAAGUUCAAUGACCGUGCGACCUGGCUCUUGUUUGGGCCUAAGGAAAAGCCGACUGUAAGCCGGGAAGCAUCUCUGGCAAGAACAAGGAAGGAUUAAGCACGUCUGUGGUUGUGCGCAGGGAUCACAAGGUGCUCCUGCAGUGGGAAGAGCCACCACUAGGGGCGCUCCAAGUCUUGUAUUUUCUACCUUGAAAACUCGUUUCCCUGUGGCUGCCCUCCAAAUCCAACGGAGAUGAAUGG